UCUCCGAUGGCUCAUCAAGGAUACCAAGAAUAAGCAUGCUCUCAAGCUUCUCACAGCAAGAUUCAGGAUCACCCACAGAUAAAUACUCAGAUAUAACUUCAUUUACAGAAUCUGUCAGCUUUCUGCUUGCUUCAUCUCUACAAAAGCUGUGAUCAGAACUUAACCUUGAAGGGGCAAGAUUUGAAGCAGUAAUUUCCUGCAACAUAUGAUCUACAUAACUUGGGGGAAAGGCACUACACCGUUUACAACAACAAAUAAAA
rnacentral:misc_RNA from 1 species